AGCAGUUAUUGAAGAGAUCUUAAUCUGAGUUUCACUGAUAAUGGUGAUAAUACAGUAGAAGUGUGGUUGAAACAGCACCAUCGUGAGCCUAACCUUGGCUCAUGGGACUUCUAAUUCAUGUUUUUAGGAAAAAGAAGUUAAAUUCACAUUUGCAUUAAGGAAGAACAGUACAUAGCUUAUUUUUUAAAUAAAAGACUGCAGGCAUAAACUGAAGCGAUAUGCAUUUGUAUUUUUCAGGCCUUUUGUCUCAGUGAGAACCGUAGUCCUGGGAAAUGAUUGCUGAGCCUCGCUCCUUGGUGUGCAAGCUUUGGCUCUUUGACAAACUGGAUACUCAGGACACAGUCACUUUGGCAAAUUACAGGUUGCACCACACAGCUUGUGGGAUUUUAAUUCCCCAACCAGGGAUUGAACCCAGGCCUGGGCCACUGCAGUUAAAGUGCUGAGUCAGGGAAUUACCAACAUUUUAUUUCUUGAUUUUGGUGGUUGCUACAUUAUUAUGUUCAUUUUGUGAUAAUUCUUCAGGCUGUACAAUUAUGAUGCCUACAUCUUUCUGUAUGUAUUACUUCUGUUAGUAUAUUUAAGUGCUUAUCAGUAAAGAAAAAAGUAGGUUCUAAAAUGUAGUGACAGACUUCUAUAAUCCACAAAUCCAAA